UAAGAAUACCCGCUGAACUUAAGCAUAUCAAUAAGCGGAGGAAAAGAAACCAACAGGGAUUGCCUUAGUAGCGGCGAGUGAAGCGGCAAUAGCUCAAAUUUGAAAUCUGGCACCUUCGGUGUCCGAGUUGUAAUUUGAAGAAGGUAUCUUUGGUUUUGGCUCUUGUCUAUGUUCCUUGGAACAGGACGUCACAGAGGGUGAGAAUCCCGUGCGAUGAGAUGCCCAAUUCCAUGUAAAGUUCCUUCGACGAGUCGAGUUGUUUGGGAAUGCAGCUCUAAGUGGGUGGUAAAUUCCAUCUAAAGCUAAAUAUUGGCGAGAGACCGAUAGCGAACAAGUACUGUGAAGGAAAGAUGAAAAGAACUUUGAAAAGAGAGUGAAAAAGUACGUGAAAUUGUUGAAAGGGAAGGGCUUGAGAUUAGACUUGGAAUUUUCCAUUUAUGGAGCUUUCCGGGCCAGCAUCAGUUUGGAUGGCAGGAUAAUUGCGUUGGAAAGUAGCACCACUUCGGUGGUGUGUUAUAGACUUCGUCGAUACUGCCUAUCUAGACUGAGGA
rnacentral:rRNA from 1 species